rnacentral:rRNA from 1 species
CCUACGGGAGGCAGCAGUGGGGAAUAUUGCACAAUGGGCGCAAGCCUGAUGCAGCGACGCCGCGUGGGGGAUGAAGGCCUUCGGGUUGUAAACCCCUUUCAGCAGGGAAGAAGCGAAAGUGACGGUACCUGCAGAAGAAGCGCCGGCUAACUACGUGCCAGCAGCCGCGGUAAUACGUAGGGCGCAAGCGUUGUCCGGAAUUAUUGGGCGUAAAGAGCUCGUAGGCGGUUUGUCGCGUCUGCUGUGAAAGUCCGAGGCUCAACCUCGGAUCUGCAGUGGGUACGGGCAGACUAGAGUGUGGUAGGGGAGACUGGAAUUCCUGGUGUAGCGGUGGAAUGCGCAGAUAUCAGGAGGAACACCAAUGGCGAAGGCAGGUCUCUGGGCCACAACUGACGCUGAGGAGCGAAAGCAUGGGGAGCGAACAGGAUUAGAUACCCUGGUAGUCCAUGCGUAACGGUAGGCGACUAGAUGUGGGUCGUCUUCCUACUGUAGUUCCGUCGUCGCNGCGACGCGAGUAGUGCCCGCCGCGGGAGGUAACGGUCCGCGAGACGUAAACGUUACGAAGUAGAGUUGACGGCGNGAGACGNGCCGACGGACGACGACGAGGGAGGAGG